rnacentral:lncRNA from 1 species
AAAAGGGAAUUGGAUUGUUCAACGAAUUUGUAUCCAAAUCGGACCCAUUACAUCCUCCUACAAGACUAUUUUCAAUAGACUCCAUUAUAAUCCCAUGUAAGUGCCACGUAAGGUGAGAUAUAACAACAGAAAGUUUAGUAACAUUUGGACGUGGAGACGCGCAACCCUAGACUUAAUCAGGGAAAUAACUCAUAGUUUUUGUCGCUUCAUCUUUGUGAGAAUAACAACUUAUCAUCUGAUCAUAAGAAAGGGAGACUUCCCCAAAAGUACAUCAGUCUGGAGAGCCCACAUCAAACGUUUGAACAAUUUGCUUAGCAGACUAGCAAGUAGAAUCAAAAGUCCACAUGUCAGAAAGAGAAAAAAGAAAUUAUUAAGGUCCAGAAUUGUGUGUAAUGCACAUAAGAUCGUCGGUUCCUUAAAAAGCCCAUGAGCUUCUAUGGUCCUGAUUUAGACUGGAGGAAGUUAUAUGCAUUUACAAAUAUUUCAAUUCAUAUAACAUCAUGCUAACAUUUAGAACAGUGAAUUGAAUAAUACAGAAAGGGUGGAAAGGAAGUUUUGUAUUCUGUAUUGUCACCGCUGCGCACGAAACUUGUCCUAUCUCUAUAGGGCAAUUAUUGGCAAAGCCUAGUGACCACAAGAGAUUAAUAUGUUUGUCAAAUGAAACGUACCUUUCGUUUCCAUAUGAACCCAUGUGAGCAUCUAUCGAAGAAUGUGACUUUCCAACCAUAAAAAUUUCACAAAGGGCAUCCUUCUUUUGCCAAUCCUCUCACCUGCAAUUUCUUAGCACAUAUGGUAUGCAGUAUUAAACAGGAUUAUUUAAUAGAGCUAAAAAAAUUUAACCUUUUUUCUUUAAUACUGUUUAUAGCAUUUAAUCUAACUUACUAAAUAAGUAAAUAUGUCAUAAGUUGUCCCGUGCAUUUUAUAUCGAUACCAACAUUGCAUUUAAUAUUUAUGACAGAAAGAACUUUAAUAGACCAAUAUCAGACAAGUGUAAAUGUGGUUUACAUGCUAUUUAAUGUUGAAAUACUACUUGACUAUAUACUGUCCAAAUUUGGCUGAGGACUUGCAAUGAAUCUAUACCUUGUUUAGCUUUAAUAGUUCACACCAUUAUUCAUGAAGACCAAUACACCUAAAAAACUGACCUUUUAUUCUUUCUGUGGGCUUUGCUUAUUGCAGUUGGUUUAAUUUACCUUUGUGGGGCAAUCAUUCUGAAGUCUAAAGCCUCUGGUAAAGAGAAUCUUCAGGUUACAACCCAAAGUAUUCUCUCAGAUACUUGCAUUUUGUCUUCAAUUAUCCAGAUUUUCUUUUAUUGCCCAAAAUAAUUUCUGUUCUUAAGCGUUUUCUGACUCAGGCCGGCCUCCAGAAUAGAAAGGCAUGACAGCUUAGCGCGGGUCUGAUCCUUUUUGAGAAACCUGAAAUUAUUGGUGGGAAGUUGGGAAGAAACUUUUAUGAUAUGGUUUUGCAGUCAGAAGUUUUAUAGAAUUCAUAGAGAUAAAAAGGAUGAAAUAUUUGAGUGGUGUAGGGCUGGGUCUGAGUCUUGUUUUUGGAUGUCUUUUGCUGGCUCUGCUUUUUGAGAUUUACUACUUGUUAUGGUGGAAAAAUAGGAUUAUCAAGAGAAGUAAUGAAAAUGGCCAUUACAAUAGAUCAGCAACAAAAUUUUUCUCCAAAUUUUGUUGCAAAAAACCAUCUUCUUCAAGUACAACUGGUGCUCAAGAAAUAAGUGUCUCAGAGACAAUUUCUCAAACACCUCAGGCGCAUGAAUUUCAUGGCAAUUCAAACGACAACAAGAAUUUGCAGUUCAAUCCCUUCGGAUCAGAAGAUAGCAUUCCAAGAUUUCUCUACUCUAUAGAAGAAGAAACAAGGUCAGAUUUGGAAUCUGAAAAUGGAGGAUCCAGUUUCGACAUCAGUAGAAAACAAUCAAGAAGUAAAAGUUUGAGUGAUUUAUUUCACAAUAUUGCUGAAACUCCCUUCUUGACUCCUGUUACCUCUCCCCCAUAUUUUACUCCUCCUUUAACCCCAUCAUCAUCGUCAGAUAACCAUAAUCAAAAGGGUUGUUUUAAUCCAUUUCAUGAAUCGGAAAGUGACGCAGCAUUCAAUAAAUUAAGGUCUUCUCCACCUCCAAAUUUGAAGUUUUUGAGGGAUGCAGAAGAUAAACUUUAUAGCAGAAAAAUCAUGGAAGAAGAGAGACCUAGUCAAAAUUACAGUAUUGAAGAACAGUAUUGUCCUUCAAGCUGUUCUUUACAGGUACUUCCUAUGAAUUUUUCUCAUCCAAACU